rnacentral:rRNA from 1 species
UACGGAGGGUGCAAGCGUUAUCCGGAUUCACUGGGUUUAAAGGGUGCGUAGGUGGGUGAGUAAGUCAGUGGUGAAAUCUUCGAGCUUAACUCGGAAACUGCCGUUGAUACUACUUGUCUUGAAUACCGUGGAGGUGAGCGGAAUAUGUCAUGUAGCGGUGAAAUGCUUAGAUAUGACAUAGAACACCAAUUGCGAAGGCAGCUCACUACACGAAUAUUGACUCUGAGGCACGAAAGCGUGGGGAUCAAACAGG